rnacentral:lncRNA from 10 species
GAUGCGAAAUUCAAGUCAGUCUGUCUUAUGACUAAUUAGAUAUUAUGAGCCACCUCGCCCUGCCUACUGUAGGUAUUUUAAGCAGAAAGGGAUUAAAUACAGUAGAUUAGAUUAGGUAUUUAGAAACUUUUUGGAAGAGAUGGAGGGGUAGGCUCUAGGCAUAUCUCUGGCAUGACUCCCAGAAUGUUGCAGAACUGGUCUAUCAAGAAUGAUGCUUCCUUUGCUACAGACAGGAAAGUGGAGAUCCAGAGGCCAAAAGUAAACUACUGGGAUCAAAAGAUUCCUGGCAUAUUGACCAAAAUGCCAUUCAGAGAUCAUAAAGCCAGGAUCAGGAAGCUGUAGAAGCCACCACCACAACUGUCUCAUCACUGAAUUGUACUAUCUGGCUGCCACUGCUGCAGUGGAUUCUCAACACCAUAGAGACUGAAGCCGAAAUGUCACUAGCAGUACAUACUGCGUAGCAUCAGGAAGAGGGACCUUGCCGCUUUUCUCCACGGUCUUGUUUGGUAAUUGUUGCUCAUAUACAUGUCGUGAUUUGUCUAAGUGAAUUGAAACCUCCAUGAGGAAAGGUGUUGUGACUUUUUAGUUUUCAGCCCGAGGCACAGGCAAACAGAAGUUGCUCAGUAAAUGGACUUUGAUGGUUGGGUAUUCUCUAUUUUGAUACUGUCAUCUUGAUGCCUUGGUUUUUGAUGGAUUAUCCUCAUCUUCCAGAUUCAUUAGCUCGAUUUUCAGUACACCAGCCAAAAACAAAUGAGCUUACACAGAAAGCACUAUUGCAAUGGGAAAGGAUAACUGGGUCACUUCCAUUGGCACUUCCAAUUCCAAUUAAAAACAGAGGCAUCCACUGCAGACAUUACUAAGUAGCUAUUUUGCUGUGGAUAGUAGAUGUUUGGUAGUGGUUGGCUGUAGCUAAAAGUUUUAGUUUGCUGCAUAGUCCACCUAUAGAUCUAAUUGGUGUAACUUAAUUUACACCCAGAAUGCUAGCUGCACAAGUGUGUUGGGAAUGACACUCACGGCCAUCACGUAAAUCUGAUAUAAAGAAAAAUGUCCUAAUGUAACACUACUUACCAAUCCAAUAAUAACAUAAUUAUAUUUAGAAAAUUGGCCGGGUGCAGUGGCUCACACCUGUAACCCCAGCACUUUGGGAGGCCGAGGCGGGCAGAUCACAUGAGGUUGGGAGUUCGACACCAGUCUGACCAAUAUGGAGAAACCCCGUCUCUACUAAAAAUACAAAAUUAGCCGGGCAUGGUGGUGCAUGCCUGUAAUCCCAGCUACUCGGGUGGCUGAGGCAGGAGAAUCACUUGAACCCGAGAGACGGAGGUUGCAGUGAGCCAAGAUUGCGCCAUUGUACUCCAGUCCAGGCAAUAAGAGCGAAACUCUGUCUCAAAAAAAAAAAAAAAAAAAAAGAAAGAAAGAAAAGAAAAGAAAAUUAGGGGUUGGGUGCAAUAGCUCAUGCCUAUAAUCCCAGCACUUUGAAAGGCUGAAGUGGGAGGAUUGCUUGAACCCAGGGGUUCAAGACCAGCUUGGGCAAUAUAGUAAGAAUAUGUCUCCACAAAAAAUUUAGAUAAUUAGCCAGCAUGGUGGCUCAUGCCUAUAGUCCCAGCUACUCAGAAGACUGAGGCAGAAGGAUUGCUUGAGCCCAGGAAUCCAAGGCUGCAGUGAGCUAUGUUUGCACCACUGCACUCCAGCCUGGGCAACAGAGCAAGACAACUGUCCCUGCCCCAUACCUCCCCUCCACUCCACUCCCC